rnacentral:rRNA from 1 species
CCUACGGGAGGCAGCAGUGGGGAAUAUUGGGCAAUGGAGGAAACUCUGACCCAGCGACGCCGCGUGCGGGAUGAAGGCCUUCGGGUUGUAAACCGCUUUCAGUAGGGAAGAAGCGAAAGUGACGGUACCUACAAAAGAAGCACCGGCUAACUAUGUGCCAGCAGCCGCGGUAAUACAUAGGGUGCAAGCGUUGUCCGGAAUUAUUGGGCGUAAAGAGCUCGUAGGUCGUUUGUUACGUCGGAUGUGAAAACCUGAGGCUCAACCUCAGGCCUGCAUUCGAUACGGGCAAACUAGAGUUUGGUAGGGGAGACUGGAAUUCCUGGUGUAGCGGUGGAAUGCGCAGAUAUCAGGAGGAACACCAAUGGCGAAGGCAGGUCUCUGGGCCAUAACUGACACUGAGGCUCGAAAGCGUGGGGAGCGAACAGGAUUAGAUACCCUGGUAGUCCACGCCGUAAACGAUGGAUACUAGCCGUUCGGCGCAAGUUGAGUGGCUAAGCGAAAGUGAUAAGUAUCCCACCUGGGGAGUACGCACGCAAGUGUGAAACUCAAAGGAAUUGACGG